GGGGAUUUGGUUCAAUGGUAGAGCGCUUGCCUAGGAAGCGCAAGGUCCUGGGUUCAAUCCCCAGCCCCG
rnacentral:tRNA from 1 species